rnacentral:lncRNA from 1 species
AGAAAAGUAAGACAGAGGCAGGGAGCAUGUAACCUUACCCAAUGCUCUUAAGUCCCAAUUGGUUUGUCACUCAGCUUUCUCUUUUCUCCAAAAGACCUCCCACACCUCACAAUGAUUGUAGAUUCUCUAGCAUAUGGUCUUGUACAAUUCUAUACUUUUAUUUGCCUCAUACCUCACCUGCGAUUGUCCUUUCAGUACACUGUGCGCUCAAUAGGGAAAUCAGGAGCCACCUAUGAUAACUGAAACCACAACGUGUGACUCCAGCUAGUAGUCUACCUGGCAGGAUGUAGAACUUUGGGAAUUUCCAGACUAGACAAAUUGAGAUGGGAACCUCAUCAUAAAUAUGGACAGUACCAUUCCAGGGUGGGGUUUCUGAACUGCAGACAGAGGGGGUUUUACCUUGAGCUGAGCAUUGGCAGCCAUAAAGGUCUGCUUCCUGACUCAAUCUUUUACUGAUACAAUUUUCCCAUCAGACUGUAUUGAACCAUCAGUGUGCCUAAAUAAACCCUCACUUGUUGGAUGACCAAACAGGACGAUGGUACCAAUGGUAAGCCAGCAUUUACUCAGCCCUGCUCUGCUCAGAACCAGGAGAAGACGAAUUCCCUGCUGGUGGAUCAGUAAUUUUGCUGGUAAUUUCAUGAAGGACCCCUACGACAUGGAUAGCGUCUAUAAUGGUUACGGUCUGCUGCAUAUUUACUGCCUUGAACUGGAACUCCACCAGCGCCUGUAACAUCUGCUGCCUCUGCAACCUUUUCUCCUUCAACAUCAUCAAACCCUACAGUCUCUCCAUCUCCUUUCUACACUGUGAAGGUACUUCCUGGGGUUAUUCUUCUUUAUGGCAGUCUGGUGUACAAAUAUGUCUUCCUUGGCUUACCAUCUCUACCAUCACCCGGUUUGGUCAUCCAACAAGAUGAAAUGAACAUAAAAUUCCAGCAAUAAGAAAUGAACAAAGAUUGGAGCUGAAGACCUUAAGCGCUUGCUUUUUGCCCAUUGACCAGAUACACUAGAAC